GUCCCGCCCCUGCCCCUGGCCCUAGGAAGUGCUCCUGCCCUGAGAGAAGGCUCAGCACAGAGGGAGGAAAGACAGCAGAACUGGCAGUCACAGUAGCUCUGAUCAUCCUGGAGCUAAGCUCCUCUCCACAGAAGAGAAGCAGGCAGCAGAGACCAUGAGGCCCCCCUCAGCCCCUCCCCGCAGAGGAUGCAUCCCCUGGCAGGGGCUCCUGCUCACAGGCUCAUGGGCAAAAGGGACUUGCCUUGUCUCAGAAGAGACUUGGGACUUUGGACUUUACUGGUAAUGCUGGAAAGAGGCAGGAAUGUCAGUCCUCUGAGCCCAAGCCAAGCCAUCGCAUCCCCUGUGACUUGCACGUAUACGCCCAGAUGGCCUGAAGUUACUGAAGAAUCACAAAAGAAGUGAAAAGGCCCUGCCCCGCCUUAACUGAUGACAUUCCACCAUUGUGAUUUGUUCCUGCCCCACCUUAACUGAGUGAUUAACCCUGUGAAUUUCCUUCUCCUGGCUCAGAAGCUCCCCCACUGAGCACCUUGUGACCCCCGCCCCUGCCCACCAGAGAACAACCCCCUUUGACUGUAAUUUUCCAUUACCUUCCCAAAUCCUAUAAAAUGGCCCCAUCCCUAUCUCCCUUUGCUGACUCUCUUUUCGGACUCAGCCCACCUGCACCCAGGUGAAAUAAACAACCAUGUUGCUCACACAAAGCCUGUUUGGUGGUCUCUUCACA
rnacentral:lncRNA from 1 species